ensembl:lncRNA
CACCCUGAACCACACAGUAACCACGCUGAGUCACACAUUGGCCACACUGAGCCAUAAAUUGGGUGAGUUGACCGCACUGAGCUCUGUGUUGGUCACAUGGAGCUCAGUGUUGGCCACAGUGGCUGUUUAAAGCCACACGUUGGCCGUGAUGAGCCACACGUUGGCCACGUUGGCCACUCUGAACCACACAUUGGCCACACUGAGUCACACAUUGGCCACAUGCAGUCAUAAAUUGGGUGAGUUGACCACUCUGAGCUCUGUGUUGGCCACACGGAGCCACGCGUUGGCCAUGUUGGUCACACCAGGCCACGUGAGGGCCACACUGAGCCACUGAUAGCUCAAGUUGACCACUCUGAGCUCCACGUUGACCACACCAGGCCACGUGAUGGCCACGUAGGCCAUGCUGAGUCACAAAUAGCUCAAGUUGACCACUCUGAGCUCCAUGUUGACCACAUGGAGCCACGCGUUGGCCAUG